CCUACGGGGGGCAGCAGUAGGGAAUCUUCCACAAUGGGCGAAAGCCUGAUGGAGCAACGCCGCGGGGGUGAAGAAGGUCUUCGGAUCGUAAAACCCUGUUGGUAGAGAAGAAAGUGCGGGAGAGUAACUGUUCACGUGUCGACGGUAUCUAACCAGAAAGCCACGGCUAACGACGUGCCAGCAGCCGCGGUAAUACGUAGGUGGCAAGCGUUAUCCGGAUUUAUUGGGCGUAAAGGGAACGGAGGCGGUCUUUUAAGUCUGAUGUGAAUGCCUUCGGCUUAACCGGAGUAGUGCAUUGGAAACUGGGAGACUUGCGUGCAGAAGCGGAGAGUGGACCUCCAUGUGUAGCGGUGAAAUGCGUAGUUAUAUGGAAGAACACCAGUGGCGCACGCGGCUCUCUGGUCUGUACCUGACGCUGAGGUUCGCACGCGUGGGUAGCAAACAGGAUUAGAUACCCUGGUAGUC
rnacentral:rRNA from 1 species